GACGAACGCUGGCGGCGUGCUUAACACAUGCAAGUCGAACGGAGUUCCUUGGAUCAAGACUUCGGUCAAGUGAAUUGGAACUUAGUGGCGGACUGGUGAGUAACGCGUGAGGAACCUGCCUUUCAGAGGGGGACAACAGUUGGAAACGACUGCUAAUACCGCAUGACACAUGACCGGGGCAUCCCGGACAUGUCAAAGAUUUAUCGCUGAAAGAUGGCCUCGCGUCUGAUUAGCUAGUUGGUGAGGUAACGGCCCACCAAGGCGACGAUCAGUAGCCGGACUGAGAGGUUGACCGGCCACAUUGGGACUGAGAUACGGCCCAGACUCCUACGGGGGGCAGCAGUGGGGAAUAUUGGGCAAUGGACGCAAGUCUGACCCAGCAACGCCGCGUGAAGGAAGAAGGCUUUCGGGUUGUAAACUUCUUUUAAGAGGGAAGAGUAGAAGACGGUACCUCUUGAAUAAGCCACGGCUAACUACGUG
rnacentral:rRNA from 1 species